GCCUGAUUUCAUUUCUUUGUUUUCUCGUGAACUGUGCAUUGUUUAAAUAAAAAAAAGAUAAACCAAUAAAUAAAAGAAGCCGCAAUAUUCUAUAGAUCUAUGGAUUCACUUCUUAAAAUUCUGUGCAGAAGGAUGCAUUACUCCUAGAAUUACCCAAUACCAUCCAAAGAAAAAAAACGAGGAAUUUCCACAUGAUCAUGAUGUUUGUAAACAAAACCUGCUCAAUUUUCAAAAUGAAGGUAUAGUAGCUGACAUAUAGUGUACAUGUACCACUUGAAGAUUUGUCCCCCUUGUAAAUACAAGAAACACAAAGUAUAUACAGAUACAUACACAUAAAAGGAGACAUCAUCUCAUGAUCUGUGGAUCCAAAACUUUAAGGACAAAACUUUUGAUAAUUCAUUCAUGUAAAGAGUGUUGACUGGAAUAUUGAAUAUCUAAUGAAUGGAACCAAGAGAAAUAAUUAUGCCCCCCUUCGAAGAAGGGAGGGCAUAUUGCUUUGCUGCUGUCGGUCUGUCGGUCCAUCGGUCUGUCGGUCCACUUAGUUUCCGUUCAUUUUCUUCGCAACCGUUCCACAUACUUAAAUAAAAUUUGGUAUACAGAUAUAUCUCAUGAAUAUCUAGGUCAAGUUCUGUUUAGGGUACGAUAGUGCCAUUUUUGACAUAGUUAUGCCCCUUGGACUUAGAAAAAUUCUAAUUAUUUGCAGUUUCCAUUCAUUUUCUUUACAACCGUUGCACAUACUGAGAUGAAAUUUAGUAUACAGAUAUAUCACCUGAAUAUCUAGGUCAAGUUCUGGUUUGGGAACAUUCGCGCCAUUUUUGACAGAGUAAUGCCCCUUGGACUUAGAAAAAUUCCAAUUAUUUGCUGUUUCUGUUCAUUUUCUUCACAAUUAUUGCAUAUACUGAGAUGAAAUUUAGUAUACAGAUAUAUCACAUGAACAUCUAGGACAAGUUCUGGUUUGAGUACAAUGGCAGCAUUUUUGACAGAGUUAUGCCCCUUGGACUUGGAAAAAUUCCAAUUUGGGGGGAGGGGGCAUAAGUGUUUUACAAACAUCUCUUGUUUAAUAAGUAUUUUAUUGUAUAUUACUCUUUUUAUUCAUCAGUCAAAUUUCUGAAUUAAAAAUUAAAUUUAAAGGAUUAAAUAAGUUUUUUAUUAUUAUUUUGAUUAGAACAAGCUCUUUAAUUUAUUAUUCUCUUAUAUAAACAAGCAUUUAAGGUCAUACGCAGCAUAGUUUGCAUUUUAUUGGG